GACGAACGCUGGCGGCGUGCUUAACACAUGCAAGUCGAACGAGAGGACAAGAGAAGCUUGCUUCUUUUGGAAUCGAGUGGCAAACGGGUGAGUAACACGUAAACAACCUGCCUUCAGGAUGGGGACAACAGACGGAAACGACUGCUAAUACCGAAUACGCUUGGGAGACCGCAUGAUCUACCAAGGAAAGGGUGGCCUCUACCUGUAAGCUAUCGCCUGAAGAGGGGUUUGCGUCUGAUUAGGCAGUUGGUGAGGUAACGGCCCACCAAACCUACGAUCAGUAGCCGGUCUGAGAGGAUGAACGGCCACACUGGAACUGAGACACGGUCCAGACUCCUACGGGAGGCAGCAGUGGGGAAUCUUCCGCAAUGGGCGAAAGCCUGACGGAGCAACGCCGCGUGAGUGAUGACGGCCUCGG
rnacentral:rRNA from 1 species